GAUAGGCACAGAGAGAUAAACAUCUCUGCAUCGCCAUGCAGAGCUGCGUUCAAAUUGAAUUUCCGCUCCACGGUUUGGACUCUUGUUUAUGUCCAAAAGCAUCUGGAAUAUUAACAUGACCUUGAAGGAAUUUCCUGACACGCUUCAUGCAGUGACCACAUGCACAUUUUAGUGCCAUGUCAAUGCGAAACUGACUAAAACCAGCCAACGUUGCACUGUUCUGUCCUUCAUUUCUCUGCCAUGUCUAUGACCUGAAGGGCAUUUCUACUACAUCUCUACUAUAGCAACAAACAAAAUCUCAAAAAAGAGGAAAAAAGAGGAGGAAAGUUUUCUGGACAACAAUGGAGGUCUGGGGCAUACAGGGAAAAGCUGGCUUUUGGCUGAUAAAAACUCAAGAGGAUCAAUUAAUUGCAGCCAUGUGCUUUGGAGGCCCUCACGGACGAAACCACACAGUGAAGCUGUAGCAGGGGGUAGAAAAAGAAGAAGAAGGCGGCUCCAGAAAAAGCUAUGCCAGUGCUCCUGGCCAAGACACCGGCCAGAAACCAAACUGGAUGUGGUGAAACUGUCAAAUUACUUAAGGAAACUGCAGCAAAACCUCAAGAGGCAAAAAACAGAGAGGGAGAGGAGUUCUUCAGUGUGUUGUGAAACAAGCAAAGCAAAUUUUAUUUCGAAAAUAAUUUUAAGUUAUUAGUUAAAAGCUGUCAAAGAGGAUACCUGGUUGUUGCACAGCUGCUUUUCAAGCGCCCUGCCACUGGUUGGUCUGACAGCAGAGAUGCAGGCCUUUGCUGAUGACCAUGAACCACAACGUUUAAGUCAAAGCCAGCAGGGGUUCUUUGUUGGAUGCAUUCCUUAUAUCUCUGUUGCCUCAUUUCCUGUAAGCUCCUAAAUACAAUUCCCCAAAAUACUUUAAAAAUAAUUGACCACAGCAUUUUUGACCACAGAAAACAAAACAAAGCAAAAAAGAUGCUUCCUGAAGAUGAGAGAUUUGAAUCGAAGGGGCUUUCUGUGCAUUUUCCUUGAAUUCUAUUCUAAGAUCCAAAUCCAGCCACCGUGAGCUCUUAAGUAAUGUAAAAACGGAAUACGUGACUUCUACAACCAUUCGUCCACAUUAGUGGGACGAAAACAAUAAAGUUGUCUAGAUUUUACUGUGAAACCAAUGAAAACUGUCUUAUUGAAAGAGUAAACCUUGUAAAUCUUUUGAGGAGGAAACACAAGACCACAUCCAUUUGCAGUCCCGGUUUUCAGAUUAUAAUUAUAUAAUGCAGAUUUGAUUUUGAAAGAAACAUAAUUAAUGAGUCUGUUUAUUGGCAGCAUUUCUCUGAAUGCACUCUAAUGCUAUGUUUUUACACCGCAUAGUAGUCGCAGGGAGUUGCCUAGCCUAGAUGGAGAGCGUACAAAGACCUUUCAGAUGUACUUUGGUUAAAGUUAGCGACGAUGAGGGUUUCCACUACUCAUUAAAAAUAACUUUUAUGCCAUGUGCUCUAGACUUCUUAGUGUUUAUCCAGGUCAGCGUUUACCUAAACCUCGGUUCCUAUGAAAUCAUCCUAAAACAUUUCAUUUAAAAAACAGGGUUGUGAAACUGUGGAUUCUUAAUAAUUUCACAAUACCGAUCACUGAUCAUUUGUUCACAGGCUCACAAAAAUCAAUUCCCCUUACUGCUCCACACUGCAGUACAACAUCUCCUAAUGUUAGGUAAAAUGUGAAGUGGUGUUUCUUUCACUUACAGCUGUCAGUGGCAUCAUCUUCCUCCGGCUUCCUGCUGCUUGUUAGGUCCCUUCACAACAUACUCUUCUUACUCUCAUAGUGCUGCAGCUUGUUUGUUUUUAAUGUUCACUUCUGGAAACUGUACUAAAAAAAUAGAAAAAAAGAAAAAGGUCUUAAGAUCUCAUUUGUAUAACCUGAGGUGGAGCACUCGGC
ensembl:lncRNA